UGACCAGCUUUCCACAGGCAGCCUGCGCCCCUCAGAGGCUCUGGGAGUGCCUCUUGCCCUGAUUUAAGGCACUUGCCCUGUAGGCCGCCUAAAACCCAGGGCCACACCCACUUGAGUCACCAUCAGUUCAUUUCAGGUUUGGAUAUGAAAAGAAACAAUGUGGAAAAACAUGUAUAUGGCAACAUCUCCAAGAACAGUACCUUCACCGCUCUCUCCCAGUGGCUGCAGCCUCUGCAGUCAGUGGACCCGCCGGGGAGAGGGGCUCAGGUUCAGAGGAAGGCAGGAGACCUAAUUCUGAACAAUUCAGCCAUACUCUCUGGUAGAGUUAAGUGGCACUGAGCAUGGCACCUAGAAAAAUCUCUCAUGCAUGUUUCCUUUCAGAAUCAAGAGACUCCAACCUUAAGUGGAGAAAUUAAGAAUGAAACCAAAUUUGGGUGGUCUGGGCUUGAGGACAACUAGGCAACCUGCGACACUGUGGGUGAGGAGAGGGGAGAAGCCCUUAAACCCACAGCAGCCAGGACACACUCCACAGUGGGAAAGCCUGGCCACAGGACAGUCACAUUCUAGUGAGAAAGCCUGGCCACUGGCUCCACUGAACCCAUAAGACAUUCUGACGAAGUCCCACGACGUGAAGAACAUGGGGACAAAUAACACUUGUGUGAAACCCAAGUGUCUACGUGGUUUCUUUUUCAAGUAGAGCCUUUGCUUUUACCGAUUCCAAAUGGCCCAGUGUACUUUCUGAGUCUAUGAACUUCAUUACAAAUCCACUAGCAUGUGGCAAGGUCAGUUCAACACUUUUUAUCUCUGCUGACUGUGCAGAUGCAAAUUCAGUACCAUUGUGGACACAAAGUAGGAGAUUCUGAAAAUAUUACCAAGCGCUUGAAAGCCACAGCAGCAGGGACGGGAAGGUCACUAAGAUGCAAGCGUAACCAGACUCUUUCAAUGAAAAUAAGGAAAUGAGCUUUUGGAAGAAUCUGUCACAAAUGAACUGCAGUAAUGACAUCAUUUUAGCAUUAAAAAAAAAGAGAGAGCAGUCUUACUCAAACAUUCUUUGGAACACACAGCUUACCAGAAAUGGAUGUGUUCAGAAUCUGUAGGAUACAACUAAGAAGGUUCUGUAUUGGAACUCUGAGCAUCUAAGCGUCAGAUCAAGACAGAGGAAGAGAGAUUUACCACCACCUUUAAAACUAACAAAACUCUUUGACCCAAAAAUACCACUUCUAGGAAUCGGGGUGGGGGGAUUCAGAGUCAAAAGCCAAAGAUUUAUAAGGAUAUUCAUCGCAGCAUUAUUUAAAUAGUGAAAAACCAGAAACCAUCUAAAUGUUUCACAACAGGGAAAUGGUCAGAUAAAUUAUGAUAAAAUGUAUAACAUUAAACUCUACAAUCAUUAAAAACAAUGUUUUUGAAUCAUUGUUCAUAUAUGAAGACAUGGGGAAAUGCUUAAGAUAAAAUCAUCAAGUGAAAAAAGCUGGAUGCAAAAUGGUGUAUGUUGUAUGCUCCCAGUUUAGCUUAAAAAGGAAACAACUGUGUGUG